rnacentral:rRNA from 1 species
ACGAACGCUGGCGGCGUGCUUCACACAUGCAAGUCGCACGGGCUCUGUCUGGCUGUGUGCUGGGUGGGGUUAGUGGCGAACGGGUGAGUAAUACGUGAGUAACCUGCCCUCUUCUUUGGGAUAAGCCUUGGAAACGGGGUCUAAUACUGGAUAUUCCUGUCUGGUCGCAUGGCUGGGUGGGGAAAGUUUUUUUCGGUGGGGGAUGGGCUCGCGGCCUAUCAGCUUGUUGGUGGGGUGAUGGCCUACCAAGGCGUCGACGGGUAGCCGGCCUGAGAGGGUGACCGGCCACACUGGGACUGGGAUACGGCCCAGACUCCUACGGGAGGCAGCAGUGGGGGAUAUUGCGCAAUGGGCGCAAGCCUGAUGCAGCGACGCCGCGUGGGGGAUGACGGCUUUCGGGUUGUAAACCUCUUUCGUCGGGGGACAAGGCUCUGCUUGGUGGUGGGGUUGAGGGUACCCGGUGAAGAAGCGCCGGCUAACUACGUG